rnacentral:rRNA from 1 species
AUUGAACGCUGGCGGCAGGCCUAACACAUGCAAGUCGAACGAGUGGCGGACGGGUGAGUAAUGUCUGGGAAACUGCCUGAUGGAGGGGGAUAACUACUGGAAACGGUAGCUAAUACCGCAUACCAUCGGAUGUGCCCAGAUGGGAUUAGCUAGUAGGUGGGGUAAAGGCUCACCUAGGCGACGAUCCCUAGCUGGUCUGAGAGGAUGACCAGCGACACUGGAACUGAGACACGGUCCAGACUCCGACGGAGGGCAGAGGUGGGGAAUAUUGAACAAGGGGCGAAAGCCGGAUGCAGCAAUGCGGGGUGUAUGAAGAAGGCCUUCGGGUUGUAAAGUCCUUUCAGCGGGGAGGCGUUACCCGCAGAAGAAGCACCGGCUAACUCCGUGCCAGCAGCCGCGGUAAUA